rnacentral:rRNA from 1 species
UACAGAGGUCCCGAGCGUUGUUCGGAUUCAUUGGGCGUAAAGGGUGCGUAGGCGGCGGGGCAAGUCUGAUGUGAAAUCCCGGGGCUCAACCCCGGAACUGCAUUGGAUACUGCCUUGCUCGAGUACUGGAGAGGGAACUGGAAUUUACGGUGUAGCAGUGAAAUGCGUAGAUAUCGUAAGGAAGGCCAGUGGCGAAGGCGAGUUCCUGGACAGUUACUGACGCUGAGGCACGAAGGCCAGGGGAGCAAACGGG